ACUGUCUUAAAAUAAAUAUUAGUUUAAUUUAAUUUUUAAGUUAAAAAGCUUAAAUAUUUUUAAAGGACGAGAAGACCCUAUAGAGUUUUAUAAAUUUAUUUAUUUAAAAUUUUAAUUUUUUUUUAAAUUAUUAAUAUUUAUUUUAUUGGGGCGAUGAAAAAAUUUAAUAAACUUUUUUAUUUUAAUAACAUUUAUUAAUGAAUUUUUGAUCCUUAUUUU
rnacentral:rRNA from 1 species